AGAUUACUGUUAGGCACAUGUAACUGAAAGCAGAAGGGAGGGGAUAGAGACAGAGAAAGACACUAAGGGGAUUUAAGGCUUCCUGUUGAAACAUUUCCCUCGUGCACAAGCCAGUGAGAGAAUUUCUGAUGGAAGUACCUUAUCCCAUGAACUUGAACUGAGUUCUCCAGCAAGACCCGGGUUUGACAGGUGUGGUUGGAAGUCAAGCAAAGAAAAAAUGGGAUAAUUGAGCUCAAAAUGAUCUUGUGCGUACAUGUGAUGAUUGUCGAAACCACAUUGUGGAUUCUACAUCGUUUGUGUUCCAUCUACCAGAUCCGAAGUCAUAUGUUAAAUGGUGGUAAUAACUGAGAAUGGUGUUGAUGGAGGUCUUCUUCUGGUAAUCGAUCAUCACAAUGGCACUAGUCACAAACAAACAGGAGCCCGCAGUAAGGAAGAGUCCUCCGUACAGAGCUCCACUUCUGUGGAGCCCACAGAAGAUUCUUAUAAUACGGAGGAUGAGGAGCACCAUCAUUACGAUGAUGACGACGACGAUGUCUAUCAAGAAUUUGAGGAGUUGGACUUUUCGCAACUACCAGAUACCAAGAGCAUCGCGUCGGAUGAUUCCUUCUACCCACCUGAUGAUUCACUUAGGUAUGGAGACACUCCGAGCCCAGAGGCUCUCAGCUUCUUCAAGGCGUGCUGCACUAACAAUGUCAUCAUCGUUAAAAUCAUGAUAAGACAAGGCGUGACGGAGGCCGAUGUGCGAGAGGUGGACAAAAAUAACAGAACAGGUCUGAUAGUGGCGUGUUACCAGGGUUAUGUUGAUGUGGUCAUGGCUCUUUCUCAGUGUCCACAUGUGGAUGUGAACCGGCAAGAUAAUGAGGGGAACACAGCUCUUAUGAAUGCUGCUCAAGCAGGCCACAGUAUGAUAACCAACUACCUACUGAACUAUUUUCCUGGUUUGGACCUUGAGCGCAGGAACUGCCACGGCUUUACUGCAGUAAUGAAAGCAGCCAUGCAGGGUCGAGCUGAGUGUGUGCGGGCCCUUAUGAUGACAGGUGCAGACAUUGAAGCAAGGGAUUUUGGGCGGAAGUUAACACCACGAGAAUGGGCCCUGUUCACAGGGCGCUAUGAGACAGCCAGGGUGAUCAUGCGGCUGAUGGAACAACCAUGUGCCGAACAAUUCUGUGACUCUUACCGAAUGGAGUGGCCCAUGCUGGCCGAGCUAGUGGCCCGAUCGAAGGAGCCCAAGUCCUGUUGGAGGAAGUUCUCAGAACGUGCCUGCCCCCUGUUCACCAUGCGUAUGAAGACCGACCCCGUGGAUGAAGGUGUUCUAGACUAUAUGGUACGCAUGACCACAGCAUUGGCAAGCCCGUUUAUAGCGACCGCCUGCCGCACCGUUUGCACGGGCAACCCUCCGUGCGUGGGAAAACUUCGCCCUUCCGUGCAGGAUAUCCUCCGCAGGCAGCGUCUGGCCGAGCUGAAGAACCUGGGGCCUGAUCAUCUCAAUAACUACAAGCGUCUCUUCCAGAACUCCAGAGUGCUGCUGAUUCCAAAAAAGCAAGACAGACGUUCUAGCCUGCAGCCCCAGUUGCUACAAAACGUCGCCAGCGUGGCCCUGAGGAGAAGCAGCCUGCUGCCUCUUCACAUGAUGCGCAGGAGCAGCGUGCGUCCCGGUGUGGUGGUGCCUAAAGUCAUGCUAUGCAAAGCUCCUCCCGCCGUGUUCAUCACAGAGAGGCCACGGCGCAAGGCUUUAAAAGACUCAAAGAACCUACACAUCCCUAAAUGGAAGUACAAAGCCCUGAAGGAGGAGAAGAAGCAAGCCGAACAGAAGGAGAAGUUAAGAUUGUCUAUGAUGAGGAAAAAGUGACCUGGCUUUUGAUGCCUUAGGGGCCGUUCACACACGAUACGUAAAAAAAAGCAAAAUAAAGAAUAUACAACGUAGGUGUUUAGAGACGUGCUCUUGAGUUAAGCUGUUUUUUUGCUGUGUAAAACGUGACACCCAUGGCAUUUGUGAGACAUUUGUGAACGGCCCCUUAGAACAUUAUUGGCUUUGCAGGCCAAUUAAAAUAAACUGGUCUUUAUGUUAUCAUGAUCUGCUAGACACGCAUUAACAUUUAUAUACAUUUAAUAUAGUUACACUUCAAAGGCAUUUUUCUUUGUUUUUUUACAUUAAGUUUAUUUAACUAAGUCCGGGAGGAACGUGGUCACGUAAUCCAACCAAUCAGCAAAGAGAGGUCUCAAUAUAUAGGACCCCUCCAGCUAGCACAGGAACGUCUGUAAGACGUCUGCUAAAGAUCUGGAAAAUAGCUGCUGUGUAAAAUCAUCUGCUAAACAUCAUAGCUGCACCUGCACCUGCACCAGCAACGCAGUGUGAAAAGCUUCCAUUUGGGGGCAGUGUUACA